GAUGAAGAACGUAGCGAAAUGCGAUAAGUAGUGUGAAUUUCAGAAUUCAGUGAAUCAUCGAAUCUUUGAACGCACAUUGCGCCCCUUGGUAUUCCAUGGGGCAUGCCUGUUCGAGCGUCAUUUGUACCUUCAAGCUCUGCUUGGUGUUGGGUGUUUGUCUCGCCUCUGCGUGUAGACUCGCCUCAAAACAAUUGGCAGCCGGCGUAUUGAUUUCGGAGCGCAGUACAUCUCGCGCUUUGCACUCAUAACGACGACGUCCAAAAGUACAUUUUUACACUCUUGACCUCGGAUCAGGUAGGGAUACCCGCUGAACUUAAGCAUAUCAAUAAGCGGAGGA
rnacentral:misc_RNA from 1 species